GAGGAGCGAGGGAGAGAACUGCAGUCUCAGCCUGGGGAGAGCUGACAAGGCCAGGACUGGGUCUCCUGCAGGGACCUGGCUGGCAGCAGUACCAAGCAGCAAGCAUCUGCACACUAGAACUCCUGGCUGCCAUGUGCCAGCCUGGCCCACCCCAACAGCUGCCCCAGGGACAGCAGGGUGGCAUCGGCAAAGCUGCUCCGUCCAGAUGUGACUGUCCUUUGGCUGUAAGGGAAGGGACCACAUCAAUCUGACCGGCAGUGAGAGGUUCACGGACCAGGCGCCAGGGCCGGGAUUCUUGAAGGGCAAAACCAGGUAAAGCCAUUCCCAUCCCAGACACCAUCUCUAUGACCUGAUGGCCUCCAAGAACUACAUUCUGAUGGAUAUAGGCACAAAUCUUCAGGAUUCCAGGCCUGUAUUGAGAUCAGCGGUCUGUGCGUGUUUCUCU
rnacentral:lncRNA from 1 species